AGUGAACGCUGGCGGUAGGCCUAACACAUGCAAGUCGAACGGCAGCACAGUAAGAGCUUGCUCUUACGGGUGGCGAGUGGCGGACGGGUGAGGAAUACAUCGGAAUCUACUUUUUCGUGGGGGAUAACGUAGGGAAACUUACGCUAAUACCGCAUACGACCUACGGGUGAAAUCAGGGGUUCUUCGGACUUUGCGUGAUUCAAUGAGCUGAUGUCGGAUUAGCUAGUUGGCGGGGUAAAGGCCCACCAAGGCGACGAUCCGUAGCUGGUCUGAGAGGAUGAUCAGCCACACUGGAACUGAGACACGGUCCAGACUCCUACGGGAGGCAGCAGUGGGGAAUAUUGGACAAUGGGCGCAAGCCUGAUCCAGCCAUACCGCGUGGGUGAAGAAGGCCUUCGGGUUGUAAAGCCCUUUUGUUGGGAAAGAAAAGCAGCAGGUUAAUACCCCGCUGUUCUGACGGUACCCAAAGAAUAAGCACCGGCUAACUUCGUG
rnacentral:rRNA from 1 species